rnacentral:rRNA from 1 species
CGGCGUGGCGACAGCACGUUGAAUGUAUCAGUUUCUAAUGGACCACUGAAGUUAAAUAACGUUGCGUCUGUUUGGUAUUCGAAUAGGAGACCAUCUGGGCAAUCGCUUACAGCUGGCGUUUC